rnacentral:rRNA from 1 species
UAUGUGAUCGUCUCUCGCAUAUCAAUAAGCGGAGGAAAAGAAACUAACAAGGAUUCCCCUAGUAACGGCGAGUGAAGCGGGAAGAGCUCAAAUUUGAAAUCUUAAAGGGUUUCCCUUUACGAAUUGUAGUUUAAAGAAGUGUUUUCUGUUGAGGUUUUGGUAAAAGUUCUUUGGAAUAGGACAUCAUAGAGGGUGAGAAUCCCGUAUUUGACCUUUACUUUCAACUUUGUGAUACACUUUCAAAGAGUCGGAUUGUUUGGGAAUGCAGUCCAAAAUGGGUGGUAAAUUUCAUCUAAAGCUAAAUAUUGGCGAGAGACCGAUAGCGAGCAAGUACCGUGAGGGAAAGAUGAAAAGAACUUUGAAAAGAGAGUUAAACAGUACGUGAAAUUGUCAAAAGGGAAGCGUUUGACACCAGUGUUGUUUUUCUGAAAAUCAAUUAAAGAACUGUUUAUGCUAAGCUGUUUAGACUUUAUCAGCUAACUGUUUAGUUUUGAGCUUUUCUUUAAUGCACUUUUCAGUUAACAAGUCAACAUCAAUUUCUUUUGCUGUAAAAAAGCUUGAGGAAGGUGGCUUGAGAUUCGUCUUAAGUGUUUAUAGCCUUUUACCUCUGCAGUCGGAGAGAUUGAGGUCUGCAGCGUAGAUCCUUCGGGGUUAGAUACGUAGAUGCUAAGUUAUAGUUUUUUAUAGACAACUUGUUGACUAUAAUUAAUCAUGUAGCUUACUCGCUUAUGCUAUUUUACCUACGCUUAGGAUGUUGAACGCGCACAGAGUCUC